rnacentral:misc_RNA from 1 species
GAAAUGCGAUAAGUAAUGUGAAUUGCAGAAUUUAGUGAAUCAUCGAAUCUUUGAACGCAGCUUGCGCUCCUUGGUAUUCCUUGGAGCAUGCCUGUUUGAGUAUCAUGAAAUCUUCAAAGUAAAUCUUUUGUUAACUCAAUUGGCUUCUACUUUGGUAUUGGAGGUCUUUGCAGCUUCACACCUGCUCCUCUUUGUUCAUUAGCUGGAUCUCAGUGUUAUGCUUGGUUCCACUCGGCGUGAUAAGUUAUCUAUCGCUGAGGACACUGUAAAAGGUGGCCAAGGUAAAUGCAGAUGAACCGCUUCUAAUAGUCCAUUGACUUGGACAAUACUUUUAUGAUCUGAUCUCAAAUCAGGUAGGACUACCCGCUGAACUUAAGC